AUUGAACGCUGGCGGCAUGCCUUACACAUGCAAGUCGAACGGCAGCACGGGAGCAAUCCUGGUGGCGAGUGGCGAACGGGUGAGUAAAGUAUCGGAACGUGCCCAGUCGUGGGGGAUAACGUAGCGAAAGUUACGCUAAUACCGCAUACGAUCUAUGGAUGAAAGCGGGGGAUCGCAAGUCCUCGCGCGAUUGGAGCGGCCGAUAUCAGGUUAGGUAGUUGGUGGGGUAAAGGCUCACCAAGCCGACGAUCUGUAGCUGGUCUGAGAGGACGACCAGCCACACUGGGACUGAGACACGGCCCAGGCUCCUACGGGAGGCAGCAGUGGGGAAUUUUGGACAAUGGGCGAAAGCCUGAUCCAGCCAUGCCGCGUGCAGGAUGAGGGCCUUCGGGUUGUAAACUGCUUUUGUACGGAACGAAAAGGUUUGGCCUAAUAAGCUGAGCUCAUGACGGUACCGUAAGAAUAAGCACCGGCUAACUACGUGCCAGCCGCCGCGGUAA
rnacentral:rRNA from 1 species